GAUGAACGCUGGCGGCGUGCCUAAUACAUGCAAGUCGAGCGAACAGACGAGGAGCUUGCUCCUCUGACGUUAGCGGCGGACGGGUGAGUAACACAUGGAUAACCUACCUAUAAGACUGGGAUAACUUCGGGAAACCGGAGCUAAUACCGGAUAAUAUAUUGAACCGCAUGGUUCAAUAGUGAAAGACGGUUUUGCUGUCACUUAUAGAUGGAUCCGCGCCGCAUUAGCUAGUUGGUAAGGUAACGGCUUACCAAGGCAACGAUGUGUAGCCGACCUGAGAGGGUGAUCGGCCACACUGGAACUGAGACACGGUCCAGACUCCUACGGGAGGCAGCAGUAGGGAAUCUUCCGCAAAGGGCGAAAGCCUGACGGAGCAACGCCGCGUGAGUGAUGAAGGUCUUCGGAUCGUAAAACUCUGUUAUUAGGGAAGAACAAAUGUGUAAGUAACUAUGCACGUCUUGACGGUACCUAAUCAGAAAGCCACGGCUAACUACGUG
rnacentral:rRNA from 1 species